GUAUUGACCUUCUAACCCGCUGCCCUUAUCGGGCAGGGAGACAGUGUCAGGUGGGCAGUUUGACUGGGGCGGUCGCCUCCUAAAAUGUAACGGAGGCGCCCAAAGGUUCCCUCAGAAUGGUUGGAAAUCAUUCGCAGAGUGUAAAGGCACAAGGGAGCUUGACUGCGAGACCUACAAGUCGAGCAGGGACGAAAGUCGGGCUUAGUGAUCCGGUGGUUCCGCAUGGAAGGGCCAUCGCUCAACGGAUAAAAGC
rnacentral:rRNA from 1 species